rnacentral:rRNA from 1 species
GACGAACGCUGGCGGCGUGCUUAACACAUGCAAGUCGAACGGAAAGGCCCUGCUUUUGUGGGGUGCUCGAGUGGCGAACGGGUGAGUAACACGUGAGUAACCUGCCCUUGACUUUGGGAUAACUUCAGGAAACUGGGGCUAAUACCGGAUAGGAGCUCCUGCUGCAUGGUGGGGGUUGGAACGUUUCGGCGGUUGGGGAUGGACUCGCGGCUGAUCAGCUUGUUGGUGGGGGAGUGGCUUACCAAGGCUUUGACGGGUAGCCGGCCUGUGAGGGGGACCGGCCACAUGGGGACUGAGAUACGGCCCAGACUCCUACGGGAGGCAGCAGUGGGGAAUAUUGCACAAUGGGCGGAAGCCUGAGGCAGCAACGCCGCGUGCGGGAUGACGGCCUUCGGGUUGUAAACCGCUGUCGCCUGUGACGAAGCGUGAGUGACGGUAAUGGGUAAAGAAGCACCGGCUAACUACGUG